rnacentral:lncRNA from 1 species
UCGCUCACGCUGGGAGCUGUAGACCGGAGCUGUUCCUAUUCGGCCAUCUUGGCUCCUCCCCGCUGGUUUGGUCUUUUCCAAGUUUAUUGGCGUAGUGCUCCUGGACCACCUCAUAUCACCAGCACCCUCUACCCAAGGUCCUGGAGCCAACACUGGAGUAAAAGAGCACAAGAGAACUCCUUAGAGGUGGAAGGACUGGCGCAUCUCAUGAGAGCUAAGCAUGACAGAUAUCAACAGGCGGGCUUCCUAGGAUGAUUUCUCAGCCAACAGUCCAAGACCUUUUGUUGAUUUCAGCCCCACUUAGCCAAGACCUCAAGUAUAAAUUCUGAUAAUUAUGGAGAAAUCAACUGCUAUUUUAUACCGAUUCUGUUAAAAAAAAAAAAGUUUUGUAACUAUUAAAAUAAUUUUCUGAAAAAAAAAGAAAAAUAUAAAAAUUAGCUGGAUGUGGAGGCACAUGCCUGUGGUUCCAGCUACCAGGGGGCUGAGGCAUGAGAAUUCUUGAACCCAGGAGGCAGAGGUUGCAGUGAGCCGAGAUCAUGCCACUGCACUCCAGUCUGGGUGACAGAGGAAGAUUCUGUCUCUUAAAAAAAAUUAAUAUAUCAAUCAUUUUGAAUUGUAAUCUUUCUGUAAUGCUUCCUUUUAACAUUUACAAACAGAGGAAACUAAACUAUUGAAAUUUUGUGAAGUAGUAAAAUUAAGAUUUCAGCUGUGCCCCUUAUCCUGCAAUACUCAUUUGUCAGUGCCUUUAGGACUCAUGUCACAUGGAUUAAACUUAGAGUGAAACACAAAGCCAAAAUUAUGGCCAGG